GACGAACGCUGGCGGCGUGCUUAACACAUGCAAGUCGAGCGGUAAGGCCCUUUCGGGGGUACACGAGCGGCGAACGGGUGAGUAACACGUGGGUGACCUGCCCUCAGCUCUGGGAUAAGCCCUGGGAAACCGGGUCUAAUACUGGAUAUGACUCCAUGACGCAUGUUGUGGGGUGGAAAGCCUUGUGCGGCUGAGGAUGGGCCCGCGGCCUAUCAGCUUGUUGGUGGGGUGANGGCCUACCAAGGCGACGACGGGUAGCCGGCCUGAGAGGGCGACCGGCCACACUGGGACUGAGACACGGCCCAGACUCCUACGGGAGGCAGCAGUGGGGAAUCUUGCGCAAUGGGCGAAAGCCUGACGCAGCGACGCCGCGUGAGGGAUGACGGCCUCGG
rnacentral:rRNA from 1 species